AAGCAUACAUGUGAAAUGUGUAAAAGCAUAAGAGCUGCGUGCUAUGUAUGUAAAUUUCCUUACUGUCCAUUAACAGAAACAAUGCAGGAAUAAUGGCUUCCCCAUUUCAACUAUCAAGGGAUGGAAUAGAGAUGCAUUUUGCCACAAACCAUUUUGUAUCAACAAACCUUGGAAGUUUUGCCUUAGUUUUUGCAUUUACAUGCCUCAAACACGCCUUAUUUUCAAACUUUGUUUGAAAUUGCAGGUUAUUUCUUACUAACAAAGCUUCUUCUCGAAAGACAAAAUCAACAGUAAAAGAAACUGGAGUUCAUGAAGGAUUAUUAACGUAUCUUUGUCUGCUCAUAGAAGAGGGUAUGAACUACCAUUCAAUUUGGACAAGCUGAACGACAGAUCAAGACAUUUGCAGCUGAUUUGCUGUUCAUUUCUCAAAUAAAAAAAAAGAGAAGCUGACACUAUUUCGUCUUCUGGUAGCUACGAACGUUUUUCGCAAAUGGUCGACCCAAAUUGGUAAAUAUACUUCAUGCAAUUGAGCUAUCUAGGCAACUGCAGGAAAAGGGUUCCAAUGUCACAGCCAACUCACACCCAGGAUUAAUUCAGACAAAUAUAGCACGCUUCCUAGGCUUUAGUGAUGGGAAUUUGUUUGAAGCCAUUUUGCAAGACCAUCACAUUAGGAAAAAAUGUCAAUUUUGUUUCUAUUUGUGGAAGAAAUCGUAAAAAAGGGUGAAGAUUGAGAAAAACUAAUUUCUUUCAUGAAUAUAAUAGUAGUUUGAUUUGAAAAGCAUUCAAAUCUGCAGAGCCCUGCAACGACUUGUUAUCUCACUCUAUAUCAAGAUGUAAAAGAUGUGACCGGCAAAUACAAAAUCGAUUGCAACGCAACAAAUCCUUCAACCGAAGCAAGGGACGAAGUUUUAGCCAGCAAGCUUUGGGUAUUCAGAGAAAAGAUGCUUAGAAAAAAUGUAAAAUAGAACGAAAGCAAACAGCCUACUAUUUAUGACUUAAGAUGAUUUAAAAUUGUAAUGUUUAUGUAUGACAUAUUAUUACUAAAACAUUUUUCAAUUGGGAUGCUAACUUAUGAUACA